rfam:Oryza glaberrima chromosome 3 Oglab03_unplaced035_5, whole genome shotgun sequence.
AAAAAGACAAACUCUGGGUUUCCGUGUCCAACGUUUGACUGUCCGUAUUAUAUGAAAUUUUUUAUAAUUAGUAUUUUCAUUGUUGUUAGAUGAUAAAACAUGAUUAAUACUUUAUGCGUGAGUUGUCUUUUUAAUUUUUUUCAUAUUUUUUUAAAUAAGACGGACGGUCAAACGUUGGAUAUGGAAACUUAGAGUU